rnacentral:misc_RNA from 1 species
AAGUCGUAACAAGGUUUCCGUAGGUGAACCUGCGGAAGGAUCAUCAACAAAAGGGAAAAGGCGUGGCGGGCGCAAGCUCGUUCACGUUCUGCUCCCGAAAAUCCUGUAUUCACCCCAAGUUCCUUAAAAAUUCAAUAAAAAACUUUGCAAAAGACCACUUUAUUAAAGUGGCAUCUAAUUGCACAAAGCGAAAACUUUCAACAACGGAUCUCUUGGCUCUC